rnacentral:rRNA from 1 species
GAUCAUGGCUCAGGAUGAACGCUGGCGGCGUGCCUAAUACAUGCAAGUAGAACGCUGAAGGAGGAGCUUGCUCUUUCCGGAUGAGUUGCGAACGGGUGAGUAACGCGUAGGUAACCUGCCUGGUAGCGGGGGAUAACUAUUGGAAACGAUAGCUAAUACCGCAUAACAGUAGAUAUUGCAUGGUAUCUGCUUGAAAGGGGCAAUUGCUCCACUACCAGAUGGACCUGCGUUG